rnacentral:rRNA from 1 species
CCAGCACCCCGAGUGGUCGGGACGAUUAUUGGGCCUAAAGCAUCCGUAGCCGGUACUGCAAGUCUUCCGUUAAAUCCACCUGCUCAACAGUUGGGCUGCGGAGGAUACUACAGCGCUAGGAGGCGGGAGAGGCAAGCGGUACUCAUUGGGUAGGGGUAAAAUCCACUGAUCCAUUGAAGACCACCAGUGGCGAAGGCGGCUUGCCAGAACGCGCUCGACGGUGAGGCACGAAAGCGUGGGGAGCAAACAGGAUUAGAUACCCUGGUAGUCCACGCCCUAAACGAUGCGAACUGGACGUUGGGAGCAACUAGGCUCUCAGUGUCGAAGCUAACGCGUUAAGUUCGCCGCCUGGGGAGUACGGUCGCAAGACUG